rnacentral:rRNA from 1 species
GAUGAACGCUGGCGGCGUGCCUAAUACAUGCAAGUCGAGCGAAUGGAUUAAGAGCUUGCUCUUAUGAAGUUAGCGGCGGACGGGUGAGUAACACGUGGGUAACCUGCCCAUAAGACUGGGAUAACUCCGGGAAACCGGGGCUAAUACCGGAUAACAUUUUGAACCGCAUGGUUCGAACUUGAAAGGCGGCUUCGGCUGUCACUUAUGGAUGGACCCGCGUCGCAUUAGCUAGUUGGUGAGGUAACGGCUCACCAAGGCAACGAUGCGUAGCCGACCUGAGAGGGUGAUCGGCCACACUGGGACUGAGACACGGCCCAGACUCCUACGGGAGGCAGCAGUAGGGAAUCUUCCGCAGUGGACGAAAGUCUGACGGAGCAACGCCGCGUGAGUGAUGAAGGCUUUCGGGUCGUAAAACUCUGUUGUUAGGGAAGAACAAGUGCUAGUUGAAUAAGCUGGCACCUUGACGGUACCUAACCAGAAAGCCACGGCUAACUACGUGCCAGCCGCCGCCGUAA